UUUCCUAGACAAAACACCAGCGUGCUGAGCUCAGUUAUCUAGUUGACAGACCCCGACGAGUAAACAGUUCUGCAUUCCAGGAAGCAGACAUAGUAAGCUCUAAGGACAGUGGUCAUGGAGACAGUGAGCAAGGAGACAGUGAUCAUGAUGCCACUAAUCGAGGUCAAUCCUCUGGCAUGGAUCUCUUCUCCAAUUGCACGGAGGAAUGUAAAGCACUGGGCCACUCAGAUCGGUGCUGGAUGCCUUCCUUUGUUCCAUCUGAUGGACGCCAAGCUGCAGAUUACCGCAGCAAUCUGCACGUACCUGGUAUGGACUCCGUUCCAGACACUGAAGUGUUUGAAACACCAGAAGCCCAGCCGGGGGCAGAAAGGUCCUUCUCCACCUUCGGCAAAGAGAAGGCCCUUCACAACACUCUGGAGAGGAAGGAGUUGGAUGGACUGCUGUCUAAUACACGAGCGCCUUACAAACCACCAUAUUUGACACGGAAAAGGAUAUGCUAGUCACUUCUACAGGACUUACCUGAAGCAGCAUGAUUUGCACAAAAGUCGACCAACAAAAAGCAUCAACUUUCAACUUCAUUAUCUUGGCCAUCCAGUUCUGUGUAACUGAAGGAUUUGUGUGCUGUUGGAGACAUCAUGGCCAACAAUAGGACCUAAUUGCUCUCAGCAGGCCUGAGAAAUGAGUUGAAAUGUGUAGAACUGUAGAAACUUCAGAGGCAACUGAUCUUGCCUCACUGAUCAGUGUGUGCCUGUUUACAGCACUAUAUAUCUUUCUCUCUCCAAAAUGUCACUGAGCCCUUUAGAUGUUUAUAUUCACCACAAGAAGCCAAUCGUACAGAUAAAAGAAAUGUGCAUUAUAAAUGCAAUAUCACUGUUUUAAACUUGACUGUUUUAUAUUAUUUUUGUGUGAUCAAGUGUUCCCCAAACUAUUCCAACUUUACAAGAGAGAUUGUGAUCAUGUUCUUUUCACCCGUGGGUCGUAAAAAUGUUGUUAAUCUGAAGGCCCACAAAAUUAUCAAAGACAUUCUGUAGUUUAUACACCGUGUUGCAAAGUGUUUACUGUACUAUUUCAAAGCUUCUAAAUAAAUAUAAAAUAUAUAUAUAUUAUAUUAUAUAUAAUUUUCCGAAAAAUGUGGUACAACUUAGUUGAUUUUUAAAUGGAUUCAUACAGUCUACACCAUAAACUAAAGUGAGAAGGUAAUUCAGGGUUCCUAAGCUAUCCUUGCUAAAAACAAAAAUAAAAUAAACCUUUAAUAGUACUUCCCCAAUAUUCGUAUUUUGGUCAAUCCUGUUUUUCUUGUUAAAACAAAAAAGCUGUAAGCAACAACAUUUUGUCUAAAAGUUGUAAUGAAUUUUCAAUGCCAAAGAUGCAGCUGUCAAUAUUACCAGAAUGAGCGCUAUGUACUAUCAGAGGUAUAAAUCACUCUCCAUUAUUUUGAUUAUAUUUCUAUGGUUUUUAAUUUGGAAUCACAAAAUCUUUUAUAAGGCUCUAUAAACUCACCUGUAUAUGUUGUUAAAAAGAACACUGGGUGUCUGUACAUUUUGCAAUGUAAGAUAUAAUGUAAGUGAAGUUAAGUAUUUUAUGAAAAUCAUCCCAAACUCAUAAGUACGCAUACAUACAUUCGUACAUACACACACACAAUCACACACACAUCUCUCUUUGACAUAGUUUUGUGAAACUAUACAAAUAUAUUGCCUAAAAAUAUUUCUCUUGUGGCUAGGAAUAGUUGUUGAUAGAAUUCAAAUUACAAAGGCGAAGUAUACGCCAAACGAUUGACUCUUGCUUCACAAAGGAGAUUUGAAAUUAGGGACAUGGCACAUUCUCAGCUGACCCCUCUCCCACUGGAGUUAAAAUGGGGUUGGCUACCGUUUUUGUUGGGAACAGGAUUAAGCCCUUGUGUAUAAUCUUUAUGUUCUGUAAUAAUUCUGUGGCCCGAAAGGGUAUCUUAGAGUGUUUCCUUUCUAUGAAAUAUUGAAAAAGGUUAAAAUUUCAAAGGUAAAGUUUAAAAUUACUUUCAUGUCCAUGGGGUUUAAGUACCAUUUACGAAAUGUAAAAAACCUAGUAAAAUGGGGUUUUUUCUU